UCCCUGGUGGUCCAGUGGUUAAGACUGUAUACUUCCAAUGCAAGAGAAGCAAGUUCAAUCCUUGGUCAGGGAA
rnacentral:tRNA from 1 species